ACGGCUCAGUAACACGUAGUCAACAUGCCCAGGGGACGUGGAUAACCUCGGGAAACUGAGGAUAAACCGCGAUAGGUCAUCACUUCUGGAAUGGGUAAUGACUUAAAUCUAUAUGGCCCCUGGAUUGGACUGCGGCCGAUCAGGCUGUUGGUGAGGUAAUGGCCCACCAAACCUGUAACCGGUACGGGCUCUGAGAGGAGGAGCCCGGAGAUGGGCACUGAGACAAGGGCCCAGGCCCUAUGGGGCGCAGCAGGCGCGAAACCUCUGCAAUAGGCGAAAGCUUGACAGGGUUACUCUGAGUGAUUUCCGUUAAGGAGAUCUUUUGGCACCUCUAAAAAUGGUGCAGAAUAAGGGGUGGGCAAGUCUGGUGUCAGCCGCCGCGGUAAUACCAGCACCCCGAGUGGUCGGGAUGUUUAUUGGGCCUAAAGCAUCCGUAGCUGGCUAAGUUAGUCCCUUGUUAAAUCCACCGAAUUAAUCGUUGGAUUGCGGGGGAUACUGCUUGGCUAGGGGACGAGAGAGGCAGACGGUAUUUCCGGGGUAGGGGUGAAAUCCUAUAAUCCCGGGAAGACCACCAGUGGCGAAGGCUGUCUGCUAGAACGCGCCCGACGGUGAGGGAUGAAAGCUGGGGGAGCGAACCGGAUUAGAUACCCGGGUAGUCCCAGCUGUAAACGAUGCAGGCUAGGUGUUUGGACGGCCACGUGCCGUUCUAGUGCCGCAGGGAAGCUGUUAAGCCUGCCGCCUGGGGAGUACGAUCGCAAGAUUGAAACUUAAAGGAAUUGGCGGGGGAG
rnacentral:rRNA from 1 species